UGGGUUGUUGACCCUAGUUGUAGGGUAUUCUCACUUGGAGAGGAUAGAUCUAGCUCACAGUCUGCUUUUGGGGUGGUAUAGCCAUCCAUAUCCCCACAUGGAGGGGAUUGUCGUCGAGUACUCCGGAGUGUCGGGCGAUUAGGACCACUUGGAGGUCCGGACCACAUGGAGGUCCGCAGACGGUCCCGGGCUUGGGUGCACUUGGAGCUCCCUCCCCACUUUGGGAUUGAAAGGUGAGUUAUUGGCGAACCCAAGGGCUUCGCUACAUAUUGGGUAAAAGAACAGUGAACAAUGUCAUUGAACAUUAUUAUUCGAACAUGGAUCGAAUUCGUUAGCAUGAUAGUAAACCUUUACUAUAUGAUGCAUGCAUUCAUUACACAUGAUUAUGGGCAUA
rnacentral:lncRNA from 1 species